GGAGAAUGCCCACCGCCCCCGUAACUGUUUCCGGUCAUCGGACGAGCUGGCUGACCACCCCCGUAGCCACCCCCGUGACCACCACCCGAUUGCAUCGUGUUGUACCCGCCACCACCUCCUAAAAUCAGGUUUCAAACACUAUGGUCACCUGUACACACACAAUUCACCUGAGGACUCUUUUGCGUGUCACCAGAGUAGGCGACGAUGAGGCGCGACAGAGGCUGCGGAGAGACCUUGAGUACACCCAGCCCAAACUGGCGCAUCCUAUAGUGUGCGGAGAAAGGCGAUUGCACCUGGUGCCAGAGGGAGUGCUCAGCAGUCUGCCAAUAAAUCGGUAUUUUCUGAUUGAAAAAGAAACUAAGCGGAACCCAUUCCGAUUUCCAAUAACCACCGGAAUGAUUGAACUGUCACCGAAAAAGUGGAAUAAGACUGAUGGAUUGACAUGUGUCAAAUCUCCAAUACCAUAAGGAAUAAUUAUAUAGAGCGAAACUGUUUUGACGUCCAUCCAAGUGGAAUCAAAAUCCAACCGCCUCCGUAUGUCGCCAUCCGUUUGCAUCCAUCCAAGGCUGCAGUGUAAACAGAUCGGAACUUGAGUUGCACAGUGUUUCUUUGAGCAAGUUAACUCGAGGACGUCACGGAUCCCAUCUUUUGACUAUACAACAAUGCCCUACAAGACGUUGAAAAGUCACGAAAGGGCCCCCAGAAUGCAAACAAGCUCACCAUCACGCCGAAGGCACUUGCGGGAUUUCUGAUCGUUGCCCUGUACAGCCGAAAUCGACGUCAUGUGAGAUCACGAAAUUGUUCCAUUUCACAAUGAUUACGCUGCUAAACGACAGCUCAGGUCAUGAAAAACAUCUGCUACAAGAGAGGACUACUACGUAUACAGGAGAUGUAACAUCUUAUACGCAUGAUGAACUGCACUAUGCAAAUUAAAGCAGGAAUCCAUCAACCUUGUACGCGGAUCACAUUUAAGAUGACCGUAACCCCAUUACUUUGGCUAUGAAUUGUUGAAAAACUCGUCGACUAGUGUAUUGUGGUACUUACAGAGGUAACUAGGUAGAAUACUAUGCAGGCUACGUGUGCAGCCAACUUUACAGGACAGCAAGAAGCAUAUAAGUCAUCAGAAAUUCGAGACGUGGAAACCGCCAAUGCGUAUAACCGUGACCUCAUAGAAACCCAAAAUAGACGCCUGUAGGUGUCACCGAUUAGGCCUAACAGUAAACCCGCGUACACUUUCACCUUUCAGCACUCCCACGUUUUGUACUGUAAGUAAUUCUUCAUCUUAGACGAUCGAGACGAUGGCGUCCUUGAUGUUUUUCCGUGCCCAUUUUUUCUUGAUGACAUAGUUUUAAACUAUGAAAUGGGCCAGUGUGAUGUUCUGUCUCGAUUUAUUCACCGAGUCUGAAACCAUCGCUCGUUUUCUAUGUGAAACUAGGAGACGAGAGAUGCGAAAGUUGAUUUUUCAUUAUUAAAAAACUCUGGUAAUUGUUAUCAGAUGGAUUGCCAUCAAAGAUAUAAAGGCUAAUUUAUAUUAUAAGUAAGUCUUUUCAUAUUGGACGUUGUUUUGGACUUGAUCGUCUUCCAAAAGAGAAAGGUUGCAAUCGGAUGAUCAAUCCCACGUCAACUGCCUACGGAGAUGUAUACCUGCUGCUGUUAUUUUAUUGUUUAAAGUGUGGCUUACAUCCAAUUGGUUUAGACGGCAAAGUGGUUCUAGCAAACAACAAAUAAUUGUAACGUUCUGCUAGCUAAUAAUAGAAAAUUGUGUCAUUAUUUAUCUUUACAUGUAACAAGUGACAACUUUUGGAACUGGUUUUUUUUAUUACCUGUGAGCUGUGACUUAUGAUAUUUUUGUUUUUGUUUUUUCUUAUUCUACUAAAUAUAAUAUAAUUCUGAUUAUUUUGGUUUAUUAAAUGUAAGGUCAGUUUAAGAAAAUACAAGCAUAUGCAUCAUUUUUGAAAAAAACCGCGUCAUUAUUGUUUUUCAGACACCUAGUAGAGGAAUUUUGUACUGCUUUGUGGAAUCAUGCUGUCGACUGCCUACCGCGUGGGUUUCACAUGCACAUCACAAGUAUGUACGUCAUUUCUGAUUUACCCAUUCUCCAGCUGACAGAGAUCAACAGGCAGUGAAACUGCAACAUAAAUAUUCAAAGUAGAAGAAGAUGCUCACAAUCAUUGACAAGAAAACAUGUUGCUUGAAUUACAAAUUACAAUUUACUGGCAUUACAUUAGCUGGCACCCUUUCAACAAGCAAAAGCAUCCCAAAGACAAACAGCUUUUGGAGACACAAACUACUUCAGUGCAACUACCACGUUGCUAAACUGAGUUAAAAUCAGAAACCAAGACUCGAAAUAUUCCAUAUCAUCAAGGCGUUGAUGCCAGUAUUUGAGAUUGGUCCUAGUUCACCCUCAGUUAAUCUGGCUGAAUAAAUUGAGUCACAGCAGGAAACUUCUUAGGUUUAUCCCAUGAAAAUAGAUAUGGAAUUCGAUGAAGUGUUUGGAUCGUGGACCGAAUCAUUCAUUCGGCUGAAGAUCUCGGUUCUCUGGGAUGACUCGGCGUAAUAACUCACACAUCUUGUUCAGGAGCAACUCACUCCCCUCAUUUGGUUAUUCACAAUUCCGCUGAAUUCAUGUAGAAUAAGGAUCGGUAAUCCACAGCCAUGCGAACGUUGUUCACCCUUUCAUUCGUAGCGCCAUUCCCAUUCGUGAAUAUCGAUUACUUCGUUCUCAAUCCGUUUUCGUGUACAGGACGAGAUUGAUGCUUUGCACGAAAAUUCAUGAUGUGCUUUCAUUUCUUUGCUUUCAUUUCAAAAGUCGUUAGUGGACACUGGACAGUGGAAGAAUUAGCCAAAUGAGGCAAACCUCCAAGGGAAAACAUCAAACAUGAAGAGAAAACAAAUCGUAUUGUUGGAAUGUCUAGUGACUGUAUUCUGGGAAUAAGUCCGGUGCAUUAUUUACGUUACCUCCAAACAACCUAAUUAGAUGAUGAAGAUGAUUUUGAAUUGAUUGCCGUCAUUUUGGCAUUGGCUUUCUCCCCCUCCGCAUGAAAUUGAAUGAAGCAGCAUUUAAGGUGAACACUUCCACUUAUUUACAUGAGUUGACUUGCAUAAUAGGGAGAUGAUGUUGUCAAGCCAGUGUCUUCACAAAGAUUAA